rnacentral:rRNA from 1 species
UCGAGCGCGCCUUCGGGUGAGCGGCGGACGGGUUAGUAACGCGUGGGAACGUGCCCUUCUCUACGGAAUAGCCUCUGGAAACGGAGAGUAAUACCGUAUACGCCCUUUGGGGGAAAGAUUUAUCGGAGAAGGAUCGGCCCGCGUUAGAUUAGGUAGUUGGUGGGGUAACGGCCUACCAAGCCUACGAUCUAUAGCUGGUUUUAGAGGAUGAUCAGCAACACUGGGACUGAGGACACGGCCCAGACUCCUACGGGAGGCAGCAGUGGGGAAUCUUAGACAAUGGGGGCAACCCUGAUCUAGCCAUGCCGCGUGAGUGAUGAAGGCCUUAGGGUCGUAAAGCUCUUUCGCCUGUGAUGAUAAUGACAGUAGCAGGUAAAGAAACCCCCGGCUAACUCG